rnacentral:rRNA from 1 species
GACGUAGGAGGCGAGCGUUAUCCGGAUUCACUGGGCGUAAAGCGCAUGUAGGCGGUUGCACAAGUCCGUUGUUAAAGCCCCUGGCUCAACUGGGGGAGGUCAAUGGAGACUGUGCGACUUGAGGGCAAUAGAGGCACGUGGAACUCCCGGUGUAGCGGUGGAAUGCGUAGGGAUCGGGAAGAACACCAGUGGCGAAGGCGACGUGCUGGGUUGCACCUGACGCUGAGAUGCGAAAGUGUGGGGAGCAAACGGG